rnacentral:rRNA from 1 species
CCUACGGAUGGCAGCAGUGGGGAAUAUUGCGCAAUGCUCGUAAGAGUGACGCAGCGACGCCGCGUGAAUGACGAAGGCCUUCGGGUCGUAAAGUUCUUUCGACAGGGAAGAAAAUGCCGAUAAGUAACUGUGUAGGUAUUGACGGUACCUGUAUAAGCAGCCCCGGCUAACUCCGUGCCAGCAGCCGGGGUAAUACGGAGGGGGGGAGCGUUGUUCGGGGUGAAUGGGCGUAAAGGGGACGGAGGCGGUGUUGUAAGUCAUUAGUCAAAGACUAGAGCUUAACUUUAGUAAGGCUAGUGAUACUAUAAUACUAGAGUAUAAGAGAGGAUUGCAGAAUUCCUGGUGUAGCGGUGAAAUGCGUAGAUAUCAGGAGGAAUACCGUUAGCGAAGGCGGCAAUCUGGCUGGAAACUGACGCUGAGGUACGAAAGCGUGGGUAGCAAACAGGAUUAGAUACCCCAGUAGUC